rnacentral:lncRNA from 1 species
CACUGCGGCUCCUCGCGCCCUGGAUCCCGCGGUCCUCAGCCACGGACGAGACCAAACUGUCUUACUUUGAAUAACAUCAGAGGGGGCGAGGCGACUUGAGGAAGGGAAAAUAACCCAAAAUUUCAGAGCUCCAAGGUCAGGGCAUGAAAUAAAUUGGAGAGAGCCCAUUGAUAGACCUAAAAAUAGUUCGGCCUCCUAAAAGCUGCCUGGUCCGAGAAGACGGCGCAAGCCUUCUGCACGGGGGAUCUCAGCCAAACAGCACGGACACAUCUAACCUCAUCUUUCAAAACCGUGGUUUUGGACAACAGAACGUCAUAAUAUUGGAAAGGAUCCACAGUAAACGGACUCUGCUGCGGGCCGAGCCGGUGUGUGGUCCUCCGCCAUGUGGAAAACACACGGUUUGGUCCGUGAGGCUUUUGUAAUUAAAUCAAGUCUCUGAGCACAUGGAGCAGAAGAGAUGAGGUCUGCACAGGAACAGUGAUUAAGGCUCGGGGAGCGCAAGGCUCGGGGGGCUGCCGUGCGCUGGCUCGUCUGUCUUUCCGCAGCAUCCCUCUGUCCCCGCGGCCGCCCCAUGAGCUGCCCUGGCCGUGCGUGUGCGGGGUCCUCGCGGGGAGCCGGCCUGAAGGGAGCCCUGGGGCCCGCACCCCAACCGCCCGAAGCAGGGACAGCGACAUUUGAGCAGGAGUUUUUAAGUAGGAUGUUCUAACGGUGUCUCUUGCGUGUCAUCAGGCUCAGAGGCAUCCCGGGGUAUCGCCCCGUCGUGGCAUCGUCUUCACCUUCCGAACGAAGUCUCUUCUCUCUCUGAGGACGCCGACCACAGUUCUACGUUGUUUGUCUGGAGGUUUCUUUUGCCCCGGGGGCCUGGAACCACACCGGCGACAGUGGCGGCGGGUCUGAGUGUCUCCAGAUCCAACCUGAGAGCAGACAGCCUGCGCGACGGCAACGUCAAGACUGCGGACGCAGCUUCCAGCCAAAGCAAGCGGGUUGUCCGGGCUCCGGGCUCCGGGCAGACGCGCGGGUCGGAGCCGCCCCAGCAGGGACCCCAGGCUGCGUCCGGGAGGGACUGUCCUCUGGCCUCGCGGCUCUGCCUCCGCGUGCGUCAGCCUCGGUCUCCGCGUGCUUUCCUCUACACUUCCCAUCUUCCUUACCUUUCGCGGCUCCCGCUCCCUUUGGGAAACUGCUGUUAUUUACAAAUAAAGCGGCUUGAAAACUGUGUCACUUCCAAGAUGGACAGUGACGGGGACCCGGGGGCUGAGUGUGCGACCCCAGCGGCCCCAGGUGUCUCACUUCCCGCCCAGGCGUGCAGAGCCGGGCGACAAACCUCCCCGGGAUGAGACCCCUGGUGUCCUGCCUCCUCCGCACCCCACCUGCGGUCCCGCGGGCUCCAACCCAGAGGCUGUGGCUCCCCCUAGAGCAGCCCCCGCCCGGAGGAGGGUCAGGGGUCGUUUGCACCCAGCCCCGUGGGGUGGCGGCCCUGCAGGGCUCCACAGUCUUCUGUC